GGCGAGGUGCCGGAGCUUGGUUGAACGGGAUGGUUUCGAAAACCAUUAUAUCCGCAAGGGUAUCGUGAGUUCGAAUCUCACCCUCGCCG
rnacentral:tRNA from 1 species